rnacentral:lncRNA from 13 species
GCUCUUACACUUUACUAGGCCUAGUUUGAUAAAGGUGAUGAGUGUUUUGAUUCUCGUGCCUGUUUGACUAUGGAACAUGGAUACUCCAUCCAAGCAAUACGACAAGUUUCCCCCCGACUUUUGAUUGGACUAGCUGGGUCUCCUCCCUCCCCUUGUUCAUCCACAAGUGAUCCUGGUUGUUUUUGAAAUCGAUGUUCUGAAUUUGUCACGAUUUUUAUCCGGUUCGUGGUCGGGAACGUGUUUGCUACAACUUGUCCUGUCUACCAAAUGUGUUUUCAACAGAAGUGAUUUUGAAUUGACUGUACCACCUGCAAUGAAUAGAAGUGUUGGCAAUACACUGUUGAAAUUCAUGCAGUUUGUCUCUUCCAUCAUCGCCUCAUGACAUGGUGACUUUGUCCACUACCACCAUAUUCCAUUGAUUUACCUGUGUGGUCCAGUCAAUUCAACAUACCAGGACUCCCAUGUGUGUGUCAAAAGAGAGGGUUUUCUUGAGUUGAAAGACUGGACAGGGUGUCUUGGGAGUAGGAAUGUUUAAAUUAAAAAUAAAUUGCCACUGUAUAGAUAUCAAUCCAAUAUCUCAUUCUCUGUAUCUUUUUUUUUUUUUUUUUUGACUUGAGAAAAAAAUAAAGGUUUUACUAUAGGUUGUGUCUUAUUUGUAUGAGUUGCUGUCACCUACCAAUAAACUGAAUGAAUCCCUUCAUAAUUGGAUAUAUGAUGAAGUAUUCCAUUCUAAUGGGUAAGACAAGGAUACAGGUGAGGGUAAACAGAUUCUAGAUAUGAGGCUUUACCUUGACGAACUGAUCGAUCGUUCCCAUAUUACUAUACAAUAAAAAAAAAUCAUCCCUGUAAGGGCAAUUAGUUAUUGCUAUACUGAUUAUCAUGACUACUGCAAUAAUAUGACUCACAUUUGUUAGUAAACAAACUUGCAUGACAGGAGACUAGGCUUAAUUUCCUUACACAUCCCCACUGGUUUAGUUACAUAGAGCCAGCUGUCAGCAUAGCUGCAGAUGUCGUUAGGGCCUUGUUCCAUUUCAAACAUUACCCGCUAACCCUAGCAACUAAAA